rfam:Triticum aestivum genome assembly, contig: Triticum_aestivum_CS42_TGACv1_scaffold_149107_2BS
UGUGUACUCCCUCCGUUCCAAAAUACUUGACUUCCAUUUGUCCAAAAAUGGAUGUGCCUAUAUACUAAAACAUGUCUAGAUACAUAUAUAUUUUUACAAAUAGAAGGCAUGUAUUGUGCAACGGAGGGAGUAGAAU